UACGAAGGGGGCUAGCGUUGUUCGGAAUUACUGGGCGUAAAGCGCGCGCAGGCGGCCUUUCAAGUCAGUGGUGAAAGCCCGGAGCUCAACUCCGGAACUGCCAUUGAAACUGUUUGGCUUGAGUACGAGAGAGGUGAGUGGAAUUCCCAGUGUAGAGGUGAAAUUCGUAGAUAUUUGGGAAGAACACCCGGUGGCGAAGGCGGCUCACUGGCUCGUAACUGACGCUCAGGCGCGACAGCGUGGGGAUCAAACAGG
rnacentral:rRNA from 1 species